UAAAAAUAAUAUGUAUGAAAUUGAAUAUAAAUAUUCAAAUUAUGACUCAGUACUCAGUAGAAAAUUUUCUUAAAUCUAUUUUUGACCCGUUAUAAUAUUUUUCAUGUAUUGAACAGUUUAUAUUCUUUUUUAAAAUUUAAAUUAUGUCAUAUGAGAAAAAAAUCUAAUUAUUUUUUAUAACGAUAAUAUUAUUUUUUGCAAAAAUAGAAUCAUAUAAAGAUGAGAGGUGAACUAUAAUAAUUAAUAAAAAAAUUAAUAUGAUAAUUUAGAUAUCAAAUCUAAUUUGUUGAUUUUAAUUGUU
rnacentral:sRNA from 1 species